AUCUAGCUUUAGGUCUGGGACAACCACUGGAAACGGUGGCUAAUACCGGAUGUGCCCUGAGGGGUGAAAGGUUAACUGCCUGAAGAUGAGCUCGCGUCUGAUUAGCUAGUUGGUGUGGUAAGAGCGCACCAAGGCGACGAUCAGUAGCUGGUCUGAGAGGACGAUCAGCCACACUGGGACUGAGACACGGCCCAGACUCCUACGGGAGGCAGCAGUGGGGAAUUUUCCGCAAUGGGCGAAAGCCUGACGGAGCAAUACCGCGUGAGGGAGGAAGGCUCUUGGGUCGUAAACCUCUUUUCUCAGGGAAGAACACAAUGACGGUACCUGAGGAAUAAGCAUCGGCUAACUCCGUGCCAGCAGCCGCGGUAAUACGGAGGAUGCAAGCGUUAUCCGGAAUGAUUGGGCGUAAAGCGUCCGCAGGUGGCUAUGUAAGUCUGCUGUUAAAGAGUCUAGCUCAACUAGAUAAGAGCAGUGGAAACUACAAGGCUAGAGUGCGUUCGGGGCAGAGGGAAUUCCUGGUGUAGCGGUGAAAUGCGUAGAGAUCAGGAAGAACACCGGUGGCGAAGGCGCUCUGCUAGGCCGCAACUGACACUGAGGGACGAAAGCUAGGG
rnacentral:rRNA from 1 species